GCUUCUGUAGACCAAGUGGAAGGUCUCCUUGCUUACUUCGCUGUGAUACCGUGAUGUUAACAAGGUAACGCGGGUUCGAAUCCCGCCAGAGGCA